UGAAUAACUAACUGUAUGAAUAAAAUUUAAAUUAUUACUACAGCUCAAUGGCUUCAAUUUCCUUCACACAUCACACUAGGAGCUUCAUGAAGAAUGAAUUUGAUAUGUUGUUCCUGAUCUUGCAAGAUAACAGGUUACAAGUUAGAGGAGCAUGAAAUUGUGCAUUUACUAUUCUUUUAACGAACUAUGAUAAAUGAAUCCAAUAUGCAUAGUUUAAG
rnacentral:lncRNA from 1 species